GACGGAGGAUGCAAGCGUUAUCCGGAAUGAUUGGGCGUAAAGCGUUCGCAGGUGGCUGUUCAAGUCUGCUGUCAAAGACCUGGGCUUAACCCCAGAAAGGCAGUGGAAACUGAACGGCUGGAGUCCAGAUCGGGUAGAGGGAAGUCCCAGUGUAGCGGUGAAAUGCGUAGAGAUUGGGAAGAACACCGGUGGCGAAAGCGCCCUGCUGGACUGCAACUGACACUGAGGGACGAAAGCUAGGGGAGCGAAAGGG
rnacentral:rRNA from 1 species